CAUAUAUAAGUAACUAUUUGCCUGUCAGUGUUUUAUAGAAGUUUGAUCCAAGAAGUGUGAGUUAACAAUUAUUUAACGGUGAGCAUCAGUAACUGUAGCGGAUUCAGGAUAGCGCAAUGGUGUCUAAAGUUUACUUUCUAGUAAUGUUGUUGGCCGCGAGCGGCGUCAUUGAGGCUGUAUUAUUCACUUGUGGCCACAACUGUUGGCAUAAUAACUGGAGACAUCGGGAUUGGCAAGCAAGACGAGCUGGUCAGUACAACAGGAGAUGUUCCUACAGGUACGGCUGGGGCGGAAGGUGCUAUUGUUACGGGUGGCCAGCGUGCAAAUAAACUGCAAGAACGAACUUAUCAGCUUUACACAAGUAUUGUUAUCAUUUUUUUCGCAAAUAUGUGCAAAUUUAGCUAUGUUUAUUGUUGUGUGUAGAAAUGUGUAGUGAUUUGUGCCAGUGUAAUAAUGAUUUAAAUAUCUCUCAAACUUUCUAUUUUGUCCUGUUUAAUUUUCUGACAAUUAUUAAGUAGCGGAGAAAUAAAUUACUGUGAUACAUUUUA